AUGAACAAAUAUAUAUUCAUUGCCGCCAUCCUUGAUCCUAGGACCAAGGAAUCUCAUUUCUUUAAGGACAUGGUUGAAGACACCUAUGGCUGUAUAAUAGGUAACAUAAUCUUGACUUCUUCACACAAUGAAUUUGUCUCUCUUUUUGGAGAAUACAAAGAAUUGUAUGGAACUAGUUCUACUAGUGAAUUAGCAUCACAAGCUCGUGCUAGUGAAAAUGCUUCUGAAAAUUCUCUUAUGAGGUCACGCUACAAUAAGAAGAGAAUGAGAUCUUGUGGAGAGGGUAGCACUAGCUCAAAUAUGAGAACUGAAUUAGACAAGUACCUAGCUGAGGAUACCGAAGAGUUGACUGCAGAAUUUGACCUUCUUGAGUGGUGGAAGUUGAAUGCUGCUCGCUUUCAUGUCCUGUCAAAAAUGGCUCGUGAUAUACUAGCAAUCCCCAUCUCAACGGUUGCUUCUGAAUCAGCUUUUAGCACUAGUGGCCGUAUUCUUGAUUACUUCAGAAGCUCUUUGACACCAGCAACACUCCAAGCGUUGAUAUGUACGCAAGAUUGUUUGCAUAAUAAGCCUAUCAAUGUUGAACUUGAUCUUGCUGAGUUGACCAAACUGGAGGAAGGUGUGGGAGCCCUUCGAUUGGACGAUAACGGUGUAACAUCGAUUGAUUGA
rnacentral:rRNA from 1 species